rnacentral:rRNA from 1 species
GUAAAGUGGCGAACGGGUGAGUAACGCGUAAAUAACUUGCCUUGGAGAUUGGGACAACAUUGGGAAACCAGUGCUAAUACCAAAUAAUGCAGCGGGCCCUUCGGGGCAUAGUUGUUAAAGUAGGCUUCGGCUUACACUUCAAGAUAGAUUUGCGUCCGAUUAGUUAGUUGGUAGGGUAAUAGCCUACCAAGACCGAGAUCGGUAGCUGGUCUGAGAGGAUGAUCAGCCACACUGGAAUUGAGAUACGGUCCAGACUCCUACGGGAGGCAGCAGUGAGGAAUUUUGCACAAUGGGCGAAAGCCUGAUGCAGCAACACCGCGUGAUUGAUGAAGUUUUUAGGAAUGUAAAAAUCUGUCGUAAGGGAAGAAAUGUUUCGGAUGUUAAUACCAUCUGUUACUGACGGUACCUUACAAGAAAGGACCGGCUAACUUCGUGCCAGCAGCCGCGGUAAUACGAGGGGUCCUAGCGUUGUCCGGAUUUACUGGGCGUAAAGGGUACGUAGGCGUUUUAAUAAGUUGUAUGUUAAAUAUCUUAGCUUAACUAAGAAAGUGCAUACAAAACUGUUAAGAUAGAGUUUGAGAGAGGAACGCAGAAUUCAUGGUGGAGCGGUGACAUGCGUAGAUAUCAUGAGGAAAGUCAAAUGCGAAGGCAGCCUUCUGGCUCAAAACUGACGCUGAGGUACGAAAGCGUGGGGAGCGAACAGGAUUAGAUACCCUGGUAGUCCACGCCGUAAACGAUGAGUAUUUGGUGCUGGGGGAUUCGACCCUUUCAGUGCCGUAGCUAACGC